AUUGAACGCUGGCGCAUGCUUUACACAUGCAAGUCGAGCGGCAGCGCGGGGGCAACCCUGGCGGCGAGCGGCGAACGGGUGAGUAAUGCAUCGGAACGUAUCCUCGAGUGGGGGAUAACCCAGCGAAAGUUGGGCUAAUACCGCAUGAGCUCUGAGGAGGAAAGCGGGGGACCUGCGAGGGCCUCGCGCUGGAGGAGCGGCCGAUGUCCGAUUAGCUAGUUGGUGGGGUAAAGGCUUACCAAGGCGACGAUCGGUAGCUGGUCUGAGAGGAUGAUCAGCCACACUGGGACUGAGACACGGCCCAGACUCCUACGGGAGGCAGCAGUGGGGAAUUUUGGACAAUGGGGGCAACCCUGAUCCAGCCAUGCCGCGUGAGUGAAGAAGGCCUUCGGGUUGUAAAGCUCUUUCGGACGGAACGAAAUGGGCGGGACUAAUACUCCUGUCUGAUGACGGUACCGUAAGAAGAAGCACCGGCUAACUACGUG
rnacentral:rRNA from 1 species